rnacentral:rRNA from 1 species
GCACAGCGGUGGAGUAUGUGGUUUAAUUCGAUGCAACGCGAAGAACCUUACCUGGUCUUGACAUCCCGGAGACCCUUAGGAAACUAGGGGGUGCUUCCAUCUGGAAGAAUCUGGAGACAGGUGCUGCAUGGCUGUCGUCAGCUCGUGUCGUGAGAUGUUGGGUUAAGUCCCGCAACGAGCGCAACCCUUGCCUUUAGUUGCCAGCAGUUCGGCUGGGCACUCUAAAGGGACUGCCGGUGUUAAACCGGAGGAAGGUGGGGAUGACGUCAAGUCCUCAUGGCCUUUAUGACCAGGGCUACACACGUACUACAAUGGCCGAUACAAAGGGCAGCGACACUGCGAGGUGAAGCCAAUCCCGUAAAAUCGGUCUCAGUCCGGAUUGGAGUCUGCAACUCGACUCCAUGAAGUUGGAAUCGCUAGUAAUCGUGGAUCAGCAUGCCACGGUGAAUACGUUCCCGGGCCUU